GACGGAUGAAAGAAACAAGGAAGCAAGCAACCACUGAUAAACACUUCAUUCACUCUUGCUCCAUUUGCGAAGAAGGAGCGUUUUUACUUUAGGCCCCAAAGCAUCCCAUGACUUUCUUGGGAGAGUUGCCGGUGGCGCGGUACUUGGCGGCCAUCUCCUCGGCCUUGAGGAGUUCCUCCCCUUUCUUUGCCUCGACCAUCGCUCUCUUCUCUUCGGCUUCCUUGUGGAUCAUUGCGGCCUUAUUCUUCAUCUUCUCGGCGUAUUCAGCCUUCUUCUUUUCCAAUUGCUCCUGAAAGUGUACAGUCACAAGAUUUAGUUUGCAGGAUGGCAUAUGAAGAGAGUGCCAUGUUCAGAACUGCAGAUGGAUAUCGACGGCAAGAACAGGCCUUACUCUUUGAUGUAAUAUACGGCCUUACUCUUUGAUGUAAUAUACAAAGAAUGGUAACGAUGAAAGUACCUCGAUCUUCUUCAGUUGAGCUUCUAUGUUUGCUUUUUUGGUGUUCUCCCAUGAGAGAAUAGCAGAUACCUUUUUAGUAGCCCUGUGAUAUUGAUGUGAAUCAAGAUCAGGAAAAUUUACAUCAUCUAUUUAAUGAACGUGUUCAAGAACGUAAUUUAGCUAUAAGUAUACAACUUCUUCAUUUUCUUCAAAAUGACAUAGCUUCUUUCAUGAUAUCUGUUGGUAGUUGUGCUGUAGGUGUUCUUAUCAUUGUUUGAAUUAGACGGGGUUGACAUAUGCUCCAUAUCUUGGGAGUAAGACUAGACAUAUUACUAACAUGAAGCUUUAUAUGGGCUCUGUUUCCUAGUUGAAACCAUUAAAGUGGCUGAAGCGCACCUUUGAGAUAUGUAACAUGCAUAUCCAAUCUAACAGAGUAGUGAUAAAUCUACCAUACCAUUGAAAAAGCAUGAAUGGAUAAAUAUAAAUAGUAACAUACUUGUUCUCAGCCUUUGUCUUCUCAUUUUCCUCCCAUGCUUUAAUUAAAGAGUUCCUCUUCUCGCUUUCCACCCUUGCAAGAGCGAGGUCUGCAUAGCAGGUUUUCAGGUAGUUUGUCAGCAUAGGUGUACUCUAUUAUAAGAAGAGAAUUCAAAUUAUUCAAUAAUUACCUCUGUCGUUUGAGCCGCCGUGUGCAGCUUUCUCAUCUGUGAGUUUCUCAGCAACAGGUUCAUCUGCAACCUCUGGUACGCAGAAAAAUGUAGAAGUAUCUUAUGAGCAAGAGUUGUAACGUCACAAUUUGAUAUGAGAGUAAUUAAGCAGCAAGAAGCUAGCAUCUGUCUGUACAAUGUCAAAUGAUUUUUAGUACCCACUCGUGUCGCGAGCAUUAUAUAAUCCGUGGAAUUGAAGUUAACUUCUAGCGUGUCCUUUGGUACUAAGAUCUUAUAUAAUGGUGACUUGUGUAGGACUUAUCUUAUUCUCUGAACUUCUCCAACCACAGACGCAAACGGAGUAAGAUAGAAAGCUACUUACAGUCCUUCUGGAUAAAGGAAUGGCUAAACAACGACAUCAUACACCGAACUUUCAGAACCCAAUGCACAGUUUUAUUAAUAUCCUUGACUCACACUCCAGCAUGGUCAUAAUUCUGAGGACUACUAGGUGCCCAUUUUUAUGAUUAAAAGCUUGUUGCUAAUUGGCCCUGCAGUUUCUUCCAACGUUGCUAUUUAUUCGCAUAGUGUUUGGUUUUCUCGUGGGAAGGGGAGCACGCUGUCAUUGAGUGCCAAACCAGAGGAGAAGUAUCAUAGACAGGAUUUCGUUCCGAUACCACAUACUUACUUCAUGUUUAUAUCCACUUCAAAACAGUAAUACGGUCAUACGGUCACCAGGAAAACUGAACAAUCUUUCCAACUAUGCAAGACUCUGAACUACUGAACAUUUAUAGCAUAGUAGUAUAUCUAUCAUCCAUGAUGACUUAGAGCAGCAACAGAAAGCAACUGCCUGCCUGUCCAAAACUACAAUAUGCCAUUCUUAAAUACAAUAGCUUUAUUCCUUUCAAAAGAAGAUAUGACAGUUAGUGAGUGCGCGUGUACUGGUUUUAUCUGUUAAUGAGUGCGCGUGUACUGGUUUUAUCUGUUCUAUAAACCCAAACACUAACUACUACUACAACACUAUCUGCAUGGUUGAAGAAAUAUGCAAAUGCAAUGAACAUGCAGACACAAGUCACAUAGCUCGGGAAAGGUUGUUCUUCAUGUGGCUUUUGCUUCCGUUUGGUUCCUUUUCCCCCAGCAUAGUACCAUCUUGGACACUUUCUAGGGUGUUAAAGUGAAACUGAGAUUCCUCCAAAAAAGGAAACUGGGAUGGAUAAGACAGAGAGGGAGCGAAGAACGGAGAGCAGGGGCAGAAAGAAGACAAAUGGAUAAGGAUGAGUGAGGAAUUCAGUGAAGUUCUAACGACUAUCUUUUCUAAAUUCCAACCCAGAACAAUUGUGCAACCUAUUUUCAGUGAGGCUACACACGGCCAGCAUCACCUUAGCUAUAUCUAUGUUGUCCUAAGAUGCUCUCUGUUUUUGUUUCGUCCAAAACUCUGCAACACUUCCGGUUCACUAGAAACAAACUAAUUUGCAACCAUGGUUGCAUCCGCUGUUUUUUUGUUCAUAACAAAAUCAUUUAGUACUACCUCCAUCUUAAAAUAAGUGUACAAAUUUGUACCAGAGCUAGUAUAAAGUUGCGACGGGCAGAGGGAGUAGAAAGCAGGGAAAAUAUUCAGACAAACAUUUGAGAUAUUUAUCAGAGCUGUUUGCGGCACCAACCAAGUGCUAAUAUAUUUCGCAAGCAGACAAUUCAGGAAAAAGAACACAUAAGCGGAAGUGUCUCAAUUCUCAAAGCAGCCAAAGCACAAACCAAAUAACAAUUGCAACUAACGCUGGCUAGUAAUCCCUAUGAACACGUAACUGAAAUUACCGAAUUAAUCGUACUCUAGGUGUAACAACGAGAGCCAAGAAAAAUAAGGAGAGGAAGGGAAAGAGAAAAAGGUCUCCAAAUAAUAUCGCAGGAUCAUCGGUACCUCAACCAAGUACUACCACCACUGUUCAUCUCCUGUUAACACCGAGGAAAAGUUGCUCGCUCCUACUACUCGUACUACCAGAUCCUAGCGCGCCCACCCCCUUCCCAUCGUUCAAGUUCAACCACAGGCCGGCCUUGCCGAAGCAAGAGCAAAUUAACUGAAGCAGCAGCAGCAGCAAAACAGCGCAGAGCAAGCGGCAGGGUGACUUACUCUCGACGACGACGAGGGCCUUGGAGUCGUCGACGGGCGGCUUCUCCUCGUCGGCGGCGGGNNNNNNNNNNNNNNNNNNNNNNNNNNNNNNNNNNNNNNNNNNNNNNNNNNNNNNNNNNNNNNNNNNNNNNNNNNNNNNNNNNNNNNNNNNNNNNNNNNNNNNNNNNNNNNNNNNNNNNNNNNNNNNNNNNNNNNNNNNNNNNNNNNNNNNNNNNNNNNNNNNNNNNNNNNNNNNNNNNNNNNNNNNNNNNNNNNNNNNNNNNNNNNNNNNNNNNNNNNNNNNNNNNNNNNNNNNNNNNNNNNNNNNNNNNNNNNNNNNNNNNNNNNNNNNNNNNNNNNNNNNNNNNNNNNNNNNNNNNNNNNNNNNNNNNNNNNNNNNNNNNNNNNNNNNNNNNNNNNNNNNNNNNNNNNNNNNNNNNNNNNNNNNNNNNNNNNNNNNNNNNNNNNNNNNNNNNNNNNNNNNNNNNNNNNNNNNNNNNNNNNNNNNNNNNNNNNNNNNNNNNNNNNNNNNNNNNNNNNNNNNNNNNNNNNNNNNNNNNNNNNNNNNNNNNNNNNNNNNNNNNNNNNNNNNNNNNNNNNNNNNNNNNNNNNNNNNNNNNNNNNNNNNNNNNNNNNNNNNNNNNNNNNNNNNNNNNNNNNNNNNNNNNNNNNNNNNNNNNNNNNNNNNNNNNNNNNNNNNNNNNNNNNNNNNNNNNNNNNNNNNNNNNNNNNNNNNNNNNNNNNNNNNNNNNNNNNNNNNNNNNNNNNNNNNNNNNNNNNNNNNNNNNNNNNNNNNNNNNNNNNNNNNNNNNNNNNNNNNNNNNNNNNNNNNNNNNNNNNNNNNNNNNNNNNNNNNNNNNNNNNNNNNNNNNNNNNNNNNNNNNNNNNNNNNNNNNNNNNNCGCUGCGCCUGUGGCCUCCACGUAGACGCUGCGCGUGGCGGCGCACGUGAUAACACCGGGCGGCGUCAAGGCGGACGGUGACAUGGGUGAGGAGUGCGAGGGCGGGGGAGGAUCAAUAAAAACUUACAAAAGUUUACUUAACCUUUUAAACUAACUCUUCUCUCCUUCCAUGAUUUUCAGUAAGGGUGGGGCCCCUCAUCCCUCAAUAACCAUCACAAUCUUACACAUCAGUUUGUACGUAAAAUCUUUAAGUAAGCCUUUGUAGGUGUAGCAUUACUCAGCGGGGAGGAUACGGGUGCCGGUUUCUUUCUUCCGUUCCCAACUUUUUCCUAAACAAUUCUUGAAUAAACAGAUACGUAUUUUCGGCGAUGGAAUUAAAGGCGCGCGCUGGCUCGCCGACUAGACAAUUGGGCUGGUGUUGGGCGAUCCGCGGAGCUUGAUUUUCCCCAGCUGUCAUCGCCUUGACGCGCCCGUCCCGCUGCCGGCUGGGCGUGUGACGGCAAGGACCGACCAGACCUGACCGUUAUACGCCCGUUUCCCGCGGAACUUGGGCGCGCGCGGGUGCAUGUGGCCGUAUCCGUAUGCAGCCGGCGGUCGACAGGUGUACUCGUACUACAUGACCAGUUCUUGGGCGGUGGCCGACGUAUCGGGGUAAUCCGUGGUUUGGUCCUCGCGCUAGCUCUGGACUUGGAUCUCACUGGAUCCUCGUAUUCUGUAUUCUGAAUCCGGGCACCAGUCAGUGGGAGUACAUUUGUCGGUGUAUAUGCAUGUGUGGGCCACACCAUACGUGCAUGAUGCGGUACAAUAUACGUCGAGCAUGUAGGAUGUAGCCAAGCUUCGACACUCAUUUCCCAAGCAGAUUUUGUUCGUUGCUAGUAUGUCCCAAGUUCUAGCUGGCGCUUAUAUCUUGCCGCCCAAAAACCUCCGUCGUCCUACAAAAGAAAACCACAAGAAUUCCAAGUUGACAAACCGUUUGCACAAAGCCAUGAAGCUGGAUGCUGCAGCAACCUAACUAAGCCAAAGCAUCUUAACAGCUGACCAGCUAAUUGUUGAAUAUAAGGAAGCUAGCUAGCUUGCGCAACUGUCCAAAGCAUAGCAUUGGACAAUCGUUCAGCAUCCAAAUGGACAUGAACAGAAGAUGCUUUGCUGGCGAGGACAGGUAGCCACAGCUACCAUGCCACACUCAAAUUAUUGGCAACGGCCAGGUGCUAAGCAGGGUUAUACGCGUUACAAACAAUUGGAUCUUGCUUGGACGCUCCUCGUUACGUCGUCGCUACGUACGCACGGAAUUUGGAGUACAACACACAUCAGAUCCUACUUUUUAGCUACCGAGACAUCCUGCUGUAUCAUUUGCACAUCGUUCAAUCUCACCGGUAACUGGGCGUGCAAGAACAGACAUAUAGAAAUAAGGUAUGACAUUCUGACGGGUAAGCCGAGCAUCUCAAACCCGCUCCAAACAUUCACACAUACGGUUUGAUCAUUGACUGGUCACAAAAAUAUGAUUCACGUGAACGCCUCAAACACCCGGGCUGAUCAACCAAAUCAAAGACGGAUAAGGAAGGCGUCCGGAUGCGUCCGCCCUAGAGGCCUACCCCAUCAUAAAUUGCAUCAAAUCUACCCCAUCCAUCCAUUUGCUAUCUUCUGUUGCUCCUCCCCAACGUAUCUCACCUGCUCCGCCGUUGCGGAGCAUGUGCGCCGACAACAUCGACACAACACUCCUCUAUUCAAUCCUCACAGCCCACGACGUCGUUGCCGGCCCGGACACCACUGUGGUACGCCCGACAAUUCUCGAGCUGGCCCUUGCGAUACAUUGUCCAGCCCGUUUCUUGCGAUUUUUAGGAAAAACAAUGAAUUCUGAUGCUUCGUUGGACGAGGAGUAUGGACUGACAUAGUUCGAUCAAAUGAUUGAAGAUGAGUUCUUCGAUUCGUUGAAUUCACACGAAGAACUGGACAUGAUCAUGCUCAUGAACAUGUAAGAGUAAAUGGACCGGCAGAGCAUAUUCCUAAUUUCAAGGGCUCAAUCAAAAAAAGAAGAAUGAUCAAUCGGGAUAGGGUCUGCGGCGCACGGCUACUAUAGAAGGACUACUUUGCUCCAUACCUAACUUUUUUGGAUCAUCACUGGUUUCGUCGCCGUUUUUUGCAUGCAAAAAACCAUUGUUUUUCCGCAUUAUGGGGGGAUUAAAGGCUUACGAUGACUACCACUAGUAGAAAAAGGCACAUUUGUCCCGGUUCCAUAGGCUCAUUAGCCCCGGUUCCGGAACCGGGACUAAAGUGUCGGGACUAAAGCCCAAAACCUUUAGUCCCGGUUCGCUUACCAACCGGGACCGAAGGGUCUCCACGUGUCCGCUGCGGGGAGCCCGAGCAGGAGGGCCGUUAGUCCCGGUUGGUCAUACUAACCGGGACAACAUGGCAUCCACGCGUCAGCAUCUGGCCGGAGCUGGGGGUUUUGUUUUUUCUGAAUGGGGGUGGGGGUGGAGGGUUAAUUUAGUGGUUUUUUAUUGUGUUAGCUAGCUACUAGAGAGAAGUGUCCUCUCUUUCUCCGUGCUUGGUCGACGCUAGCUACUAUACAUAUAGAGAGAACAUGACGCUAGCUAAUAAGAAAAUGAAGGAAACCAUUUACAAUCCCUAACAUCUUUUACAAUGCCUAACAUCAUCUACCUAAGAUUCAAUCACAAAUAGCUCACAUGGUAUUCUCCGUAUGACGUGGUCAAGAAAGAAUCCCGCCAAUUCCUCUUGGAUUGCUCGUAUGCCAUCAUCUGAUAGGGGUUCAUCCCGCUUCUUUCAGAUCUAAUUUAAAGAAGGGGGUCAAUACAUGCAUAUAUAUAUGAAUAAAACUCAACACAAUUGAUGGUAAUAUAUAAAAUAAAAUUGUGAAUAUUAUUUACGUACUUCAAAUUGUUUGUCAGAGAUGCCUCGCCCAGAGGUUGAGAGGCGAAUGAACUCGCAUACGUAGUAUGCACAUUUUUCAGUUCCAGCUACCUGGUACAAGCACUUUAUGAGAAUAGAGUUCAAUCAAACUGAUAAGCAAGCAUGGUAAUGAUAUAUUGAUGAAAAUUUGAAUCAAUUAGAGAUGCACGGAACUAGAUAGUACUACUUACCGGGGGGGGGUGCGUAAAUUGCAACUCUUUGUUUAGACCGGGAGACUUUGAGGUGAACUUCUUCCAAACCUUGCCAGACAAGGAAAAUGAUUACUUGAUAUCAGGAAAUUAAUGAAAGUUGCAUGCCGGUAUGGUCCUGGUAUUGACUGAACUUACUUCUUGAGCAUUGCAGUCAUGUCCGCAUAAUCCUCGGGAUCUUUACGUCUCGAGUCUAAGACAAUUACUUUUACCCCGUCAAGCUUAAUGGAUAGCAGAAUAAAGUGGUAACUGCGCACGCAUAUAUAACUCAUCAAUUACAUUUACUUAACCUCGAGUAAGCGAAACGAGUAUACAGAGAAUACAGCAACACUCACUUGAAGUUGUAAGGAAAGAGUAUUUCCCUUUUGUUUUGAAUUGCAAGCAAAGAGUUUAGCAAGCUAACCUCGGUCUCUUUGGUUUCAUUUCGUACCGACAAUACAUUUACGGCUUCUGGGCUAAUGAACCCAACGUCGAAGAUUCCUGCUUUUUUUAAUUCGACGAUCUUGAAGCUGCAUAAUAUAUAUAGUAAGGAUAAUUAUAUAUACAUGAAAUGAACGAGAUGAGCUAGAGACUUAAUUAUAGAAGUAAUACUUACAAACAGUAGGAAGUCAUGAAUUGUUUGUCGAGGCCAGUUGAUUGUAUAACUGAAAUAACUCCUCAAAUUGAACAAGCAGCACUGAAGUUCCAAUGAAAUCGUGAUCUUUUUUCACUCUCAUAUAGAUAGCGUCUUUCCCAGUCUCCCUGAAGAUGUUCAUGUACCACUCAUGCAAUUCGUGCAUCCUCGGUGUUAGAGGAGGAUGAUCAGGUUUGACCAGAGGCUUCCCGAGCACGUAUUCAUAUGUUUGUUUAUUUGCUACCUCAGCUAUAUAAAAAAUUACUGAAUGCUUCAUGUAAUCACCAGGAUUGGUACCGGGCAGCUGUUGGGGAACGUCGCAUGGGAAACAAAAAUUUUCCUACGCACACGAAGACCUAUCAUGGUGAUGUCCAUCGACGAGAGGGGAUAUGUGAUCUACGUACCCUUGUAGACCGUACAGCAGAAGCGUUAGUGAACGCGGUUGAUGUAGUGGAACGUCCUCAUGUCCCUCGAUCCGCCCCGUGAACCGUCCUGCGAUCAGUCCCACGAUCUAGUGCCGAACGGACGACACCUCCGCGUUCAGCACACGUACAGCUCGACGAAGAUCUCGGCCUUCUUGAUCCAGCAAGAGAGACGGAGAGGUAGAAGAGUUCUCCGGCAGCAUGACGGCGCUCCGGAGGUUGGUGGUGAUCUUAUCUCAGCAGGGCUCCGCCCGAGCUCCGCAGAAACGCGAUCUAGAGGAAAAACCGUGGAGGUAUGUGGUCGGGCUGCCGUGGAAAAGUCGUCUCAAAUCAGCCCUAAAACCUCCGUAUAUAUAGGGGGAAGAGGGGGAGCCUUGCCUUGGGGCUCAAGGACCCCCAAGGGGGUCGGCCGAGCCAAGGGGGAAAGGUCUCCCCUCCCAAACCGAAUCCAACUUGGUUUGGAAGGUGGAGUCCUUCUUCCCUUUCCCACCUCCUCCUGUUUUUUCUUUUCUCUUUGAUUUUCUUCCUAUGGCGCAUAGGGCCUUCUUGGGCUGUCCCACCAGCCCACUAAGGGCUGGUGCGCCACCCCCAAGGCCUAUGGGCUUCCCCGAGGUGGGUUGCCCCCCCGGUGAACACCCGGAACCCAUUCGUCAUUCCCGGUACAUUCCCGAUAACUCCGAAAACCUUCCGGUAAUAAAAUGAGGUCAUCCUAUAUAUCAAUCUUCGUUUCCGGACCAUUCCGGAAACCCUCAUGACGUCCGUGAUCUCAUCCGGGACUCCGAACAACAUUCGGCAACCAACCAUAUAACUCAAAUACGCAUAUAACAACGUCAAACCUUAAGUGUGCAGACCCUGCGGGUUAGAGAACUAUGUAGACAUGACCCGAGCGACUCCUCGGUCAAUAUCCAAUAGCGGGACCUGGAUGCCCAUAUUGGAUCCUCUCCCUAUAGNNNNNNNNNNNNNNNNNNNNNNNNNNNNNNNNNNNNNNNNNNNNNNNNNNNNNNNNNNNNNNNNNNNNNNNNNNNNNNNNNNNNNNNNNNNNNNNNNNNNACUGCAUUCACUUUAAAUAGGGCACCAUCAAAAUCCGUUGAGACGACACCAUACGAACUGUGGUAUGGCAAAAGGCCAAAGUUAUCGUUUCUUAAAAGUUUGGGGAUGUGAUGCUUAUGUCAAAAAGCUUCAGCCUGAAAAGCUGGAACCCAAAGCGGAAAAGUGCGUCUUCAUAGGUUACCCAAAAGAGACAGUUGGGUACACCUUCUAUCUCAAAUCCGAGGGCAAAGUGUUUGUUGCUAAAAACGGAGCUUUUCUCGAGAAGGAGUUUCUCUCGAGAGAAUUGAGUGGGAGGAAGAUAGAACUUGACGAGGUUGUCAAACCUCUCAUCCCUCUGGAUGGUGGCGNCAGGGCAAGGGGAAACCUCUGUCGUUGCGACACCGGUUGAGGAGGAAGUUAAUGAUGAUGAUCAUGAAACUCCAGUUCAAGUUUCUGUCGAACCACGCAGGUCGACGAGACCACGUGCUGCUCCAGAGUGGUACGGUAAUCCCGUCUUAUCAAUCAUGUUGUUAGACAACAAUGAAGCUGCAAAUUAUGAAGAAGCAAUGGUGGGCCCAGAUUCCAACAAAUGGCUAGAAGCCAUGAAGUCCGAGAUAGGAUCCAUGUAUGAGAACAAAGUGUGGACUUUGGAGGGACUACCUGAGGGCAGCAAGGCUAUUCAGAACAAAUGGAUCUUUAAGAGGAAGACGGCCGCUGACGCCAAUGUGACCGUUUAUAAAGCUCGACUUGUGGCAAAGGGUUUUUCACAAGUUCAAGGAGUUGACUACGAUGAGACAUUCUCACCCGUAGCGAUGCUUAAGUCCGUCAGAAUCAUGUUAGCAAUAGCUGCAUUUUUCGAUUAUGAAAUCUCGCAGAUGGAUGUCAAAACGGCAUUCCUUAACGGUUUCCUUAAGGAAGAGUUGUAUAUGAUACAACCCGAANNNNNNNNNNNNNNNNNNNNNNNNNNNNNNNNNNNNNNNNNNNNNNNNNNNNNNNNNNNNNNNNNNNNNNNNNNNNNNNNNNNNNNNNNNNNNNNNNNNNAUGAUCUCCAUCAACGUGUUGCCAUCGGGGUUGUCGUGCUACUCAUGCUAUUACUACUAAAGCUACAUCCUAGCAAAAUAGUAAACGCAUCUGCAAGCACAAACGUUAGUAUAAAGACAACCCUAUGGCUCAUGCCGGUUGCCGUACCAUCGACGUGCAAGUCGAUAUUUACUAUUACAACAUGAUCAUCUCAUACAUCCAAUAUAUCACAUCACAUCGUUGGCCAUAUCACAUCACAAUCAUACCCUCAAAAAACAAGUUAGACGUCCUCUAAUUUUGUUGUUGCAUGUUUUACGUGGUGACCAUGGGUAUCUAGUAGGAUCGCAUCUUACUUACGCAAACACCACAACGGAGAUAUAUGAGUUGCUAUUUAACCUCAUCCAAGGACCUCCUCGGUCAAAUCCGAUUCAACUAAAGUUGGAGAAACCGAAACUUGCCAGUCCUCUUUGAGCAACGGUGUUACUCGUAGCGAUGAAACCAGUCUAUCGUAAGCAUACGAGUAAUGUCGGUCCAAGCCGCUUCAAUCCAACAAUACCGCAGAAUCAAGAAAAGACUAAGGAGGGCAGCAAAACGCACAUCACCGCCCACAAAAACUUUUGUGUUCUACUCGAGAAGACAUCUACGCAUGAACCUAGCUCAUGAUGCCACUGUUGGGGAACGUCGCAGGGGGGGGGGGGGGGUUCCUACGCGCACGAAGACCUAUCAUGGUGAUGUCCAUCUACGAGAGGGGAUGAGUGAUCUACGUACCCUUGUAGAUCGUACAGCAGAAGCGUUAGUGAACACGGUUGAUGUAGUGGAACGUCCUCACAUCCCUCGAUCCGCCCCGCGAACAAUCCCGCGAUCAGUCCCACGAUCUAGUACCGAACGGACGACACCUCCGCGUUCAGCACACGUACAGCUCGACGAUGAUCUCGGCCUUCUUGAUCCAGCAAGAGAGACGGAGAGGUAGAAGAGUUCUCCGGCAGCGUGACGGCGCUCCGGAGGUUGGUGAUGACCUUGUCUCAGCAGGGCUUCGCCCGAGCUCCGCAGAAACGCGAUCUAGAGGAAAAACCGUGGAGGUAUGUGGUCGGGCUGCCGUGGAAAAGUCGUCUCAAAUCAGCCCUAAAACCUCCGUAUAUAUAGGUGGGAGGGAGGGGACCUUGCCUUGGGGCUCAAGGAGCCCCAAGGGGGUCGGACGAGUCCAAAGGGGAAGGCUCCCCCCCAGACCGAGUUGGACUUGGUUUGGUGGGUGGGAGUCCUUCCUUCCCUUCCCACCUCCCUUUUUUUCUUUUCUCUUUGAUUUUCUUUCCUAGGCGCAUAGGGCCCUUUUGGGCUGUCCCACCAGCCCACUAAGGGCUGGUGUGCCACUCUCAAGGCCUAUGGGCUUCCCCGGGGUGGGUUGCCCCCCCGGUGAACUCCCGGAACCCAUUCGUCAUUCCCGGUACAUUCCCGGUAACUCCGAAAACCUUCCGGUAAUCAAAUGAGGUCAUCCUAUAUAUCAAUCUUCGUUUCUGGACCAUUCCGGAAACCCUCGUGACGUCUGUGAUCUCAUCCGGGACUCCGGACAACAUUCGGUAACCAACCAUAUAACUCAAAUACACAUAAAACAACGUCGAACCUUAAGUGUGCAGACCCUGCGGGUUCGAGAAUUAUGUAGACAUGACCCGAGAGACUCCUCGGUCAAUAUCCAAUAGCGGGACCUGGAUGCCCAUAUUGGAUCCUACAUAUUCUACGAAGAUCUUAUCNGUUUGAACCUCAGUGCCAAGGAUUCGUAUAAUCCCGUAUGUCAUUCCCUUUGUCCUUCGGUAUGUUACUUGCCCGAGAUUCGAUCGUCAGUAUCCGCAUACCUAUUUCAAUCUCGUUUACCGGCAAGUCUCUUUACUCGUUCCGUAAUACAACAUCCCGCAACUUACACUAAGUUACAUUGCUUGCAAGGCUUGUGUGUGAUGUUGUAUUACCGAGUGGGCCCNNNNNNNNNNNNNNNNNNNNNNNNNNNNNNNNNNNNNNNNNNNNNNNNNNNNNNNNNNNNNNNNNNNNNNNNNNNNNNNNNNNNNNNNNNNNNNNNNNNNCCGACGUUUUUCGACCCGUCUAACCCUACUUCAACUUUUUAGCACAUGCUAUGUGGGUGAAAUGAUGAUACCAUGCCAACUUUCAACAUUUUUUAGAGUUCAUUUGUAGUGCUUUUCAAUUUAAGGGUCAUUUAGCUCAAAAAAUCAGUAAAUGCAUGAAAAAUACCAAAUGAAGUCAGAAAUAGUUGAAAAUUGAUGAUGUGGCUUUGAAUGGUGCAUUUUGAACACACAAAAAAGUCUUGAGUUCAAAUAAGUUCAAAAAAAAUGAAAUCCCUUUGUAACACAUGAGUUUUCGUAUGAAACCCUCAUACUUCGAAAGAGAUUGUCCGUUUUGUACACGAAGUGCAUCCAGCUUUUGUCGCAACCCUCUCAACUUUUUAGCACAUGCUAUGUGGGUGAAAUGAUGAUACCAUGCCAACUUUCAACAUUUCCACAGUUCAUUUGUAGUGUUUUCAAUUUAAGGGUCAUUUAGCUCAAAAAAAUGAGUAAAUGCAUGAAAAAUACCAAAUGAAGUGUUUUUGAAUUUUGUGACCUGAAAGCAAAAAGAAUCACUGAAAAAUAGUAAGGAGGAACAAAAUAAAAUAAAUAAAGUAAAAAACAAAAAAAUAGCUUUUUUUAAAUGCCACCUACUGGGCGACCGCGGCGUGAAUACGACUAGAAACCCAACCAGCCUAUUGGGCCAGGAUUCAGGCCCGGAGUAGGCCCAAUAGGCCCUGAAGCAGUGACCCAUUAGGCCCGGAGUAGGCCCAAUAGGCCUAGAGUCAGUGACCCAUUAGGCCCGGAAGCCUGCAAUUGAAAGGAGCUCGAGAGGUUGUGCGCAGCUGCGCUUAUAAACCACUCGCUACCUCUCUCGGCUAGCGAUGUGGGACUAAACUUUUAGCCUCGGGCAGCACCACACUUUGGUCCUAGCUGGUGGCUCCAACCGGCACCAAUACGGACCUUUUGUCCCGGUUGGAGUCACUAAUCCGUACUAAAGGUCUCUUCUUCCCGCCCUUUUGGGCCAACGAAAUUGACCUUUAGUCCCGGUUGGUGUACCAAACCGGGACUAAAGUGUUGCUAUGGUUCCGGUUUGAGCCACCAACCGGAAACAAAGGUAUUCAUAUAUUGCGGGAGUUGUCAAAAUUUCCACCAACUUCCAUUUCCUCCCCGUUCUCUCUUCGUCGUCGCCGUCGCCGCCGUCCCGCGCCUCCUCCACGAGCCCGACGUCGUCCUCGCCGUCGCUCCUGAGCCCGUCGUCGCCCCGAGCCCAUCGCCGUUGUCGUCGCUCCCGAGCCCAUCGUCGCCCCGAGCCCGUCGCGCCCCGUCGUCCCCGAGCCCGUCGCGCGCCGUCAUCCCCGAGCCCAUCMAUCGCCCAGAGCCCAUCGCGCUCCAUCGUCCCCGAGCCCAUCGUCGUCGCCGUCGCCGUCGCUCCUGAGCCCAUCGUCGUCGUCCGUUGUCGCCCGUCGUCGCCGUCACCGUCGUCGCCGUAGCCCCCGAUCCCAUCGCCGCUGUCAUCGUCGCCCGUCGCCCGGCGUUGUUCCGAAGCCCGCCGUCGUCGCCCGUCGACGCGCCGGUAGCACGUCCAUCUCCAUCGCCAUAUCCCUAUUUGUGAAUCCAUGUGUGAGGAGACGUAGUCUAAUUGCGAAUCCAUGUGUGUAUUUCAGUCUUAUUAGAAUAUGUUGGGUACAUUUUUGAACUCCCCAAUGUGACACAAGUUAUAAAAAUUAUAAAAAUAUUUAGAUUAGAUUAAGUUACAAUAGCAGAUAAAGUUAUAAAAAUUAUAAAAAUAUUUAGAUUAGAUUAAGUUUUUAUGUUAAUAUUUGGGAUUAUGUAUAAAAGUUAGUUUUUACCUUAUUUUUAUUUUAGUUUUAAUAAAAAGUAUUUUACCGAAAAAGGGCUUCCCCCACUUUGUAAUAUUUGUAUAAACAAUGGAUAUUCCAAGAGACAUGGACCAAGAUGAAAUUUUGGGGGAUAUAAUCCACGACGACGGUAAUGUCGAUUUCUUUCUCAACAACAUCGAUGGUCUGGAAGGAGAGGAUUACGGCUCCGGUGAUCGAACAAUGGAGGAGGAAGGACAUUAUCAUGAUGGCUUAGGUGGCUACCGAAUCCCGGAGGAAGGGGAUCAUGAUGACAGCUCCGGUGACUGAUAUGUCUCCGUCGUAUCUAUAAUUUUUGAUUGUUUCAUGCCAAUAUUCUACAACUUUCAUAUACUUUUAGCAACUUUCUAUACUAUUUUUGGGACUAACAUAUUGAUCCAGUGCCCAGUGCCAGUUCCUGUUUGUUGCAUGUUUUUUGUUUCGCAGAAUACCCAUACCAAACGAAGUCCAAACGCAAUAAAAAAACCUAUGGGGAUUUUUUUGGAAUAUUUAUGAUUUUUGGGAAGAGGAAUCAACGCGAAACGAUGCCCGACGGGGUCACGAGCCCAGGAGGCGCGCUCUACCCCCCAGGCUCGCCUGGCAGGCUCGUGACCAACCCCUAAGGCGGUUGGGGCCCUUCUUUUGCCGCAAGAAAGCUAAUAUCCGGAAGAAAAUCGUGUUAAAAGGACACCUCAAUCGGAGUUACGGAUCUCCAGGAAUUUAAGAAACGGUGAAAGGACAGAAUCUGGGAGCGCAAAAACAAAAGGACACAGAGAGAGAGAGAUCCAAUCUCGGAGCGGCUCUCGCCCCUCCGCCGCCAUGGAGAUCAUGGACUAGAGGGGAAACCCUUCUCCCAUCUAGGGAGGAGGUCAAGGAAGAAGAAGAAGAAGGGGGGCUCUCUCUCCCGGCGACGCCGGAACACCGCCCGAGACAUCAUCGUGUGACGGCGAUCUACACCAACACCUCCGUCAUCUUCACCAACACAUCCAUCACAUUCCCCCAUCUAUAUUCAGCGGUCCACUCUCCCACAACCCGCUGUACCCUCUACUUGAACAUGGUGCUUUAUGCUUCAUAUUAUUAUCCAAUGAUGUGUUGCCAUCCGAUGAUGUUUGAGUAGAUUUUCGUUGUCCUAUCGGUGAUUGAUGAAUUGCUAUGAUUGGUUUAAUUUGCUUGUGGUUAUGUUGCUUUCUUUGGUUCCCAUCAUAUGAGCGCGCGCGUGGAUCACACCAUAGGGUUAGUAGUAAGUUGAUAGGACUAUGUAUUGGAGGGCAAGGGUGACAGAAGCUUCAGCCUAGCAUAGAAAUUGAUGCAUACGUGAUUGAAGGGGGACCAAUAUAUCUUAUUGCUAUAAUUGGGUUUUACCUUAAUGAACAUUAGUAGUUGUGGAUGCUUGCUAAUAGUUCCAAUCAUAAGUGCAUAGAAUUCCAAGUAAGGGAUGACAUGCUAGCAGUGGCCUCUCCCACAUAAAACUUGCUAUCGGUCUAGUAACGUAGUCAAUUGCUAAGGGACAAUUCCGCAACUCCUACCACCACUUUUCCACACUCGUUAAACUAAUGUAAUUGUUUCUUUAUCUAAAAAGCCCCUAGUUUUUAUUUACGUGUUCUUUAGUAUCUUGGAAACCUAUCCUAUCACACCUACAAAGUACUUAUAGUUUCAUACUUGUUCUAGGUAAAGCGAACGUAAAGUGUGUGUAGAGUUGUAUCGGUGGUCGAUAGAACUCGAGGGAAUAUUUGUCCUACCUUUAGCUCCUUGUUGGGUUCGACACUCUUACUUAUCGAGAAAGGCUACAAUUUAUCCCCUAUACUUGUGGGUUAUCAAGACCUUUUUCUGGCGCCGUUGCCGGGGAGCAAUAGCAUGGGGUGAAUAUUCUCGUGUGUGCUUGUUUGCUUUAUCACUAAGUAGAUUUAUUUGUUGUUCUAAGUUGUUCUCUAUCUUUGGUUAUGGAUAUGGAACACGAAAUACCAAAAAAAAUUAGGUGUACUUGCUACUCAUGGAGAUGGGGAACCUUCUAAAACCCUCCAUGCUCGUUAUGUGGAAAAUAUUAUGCACUUCUUUAAUAAUCCUGAGAAAACCCCAUUCAGUUAUAUAAUGGGAGACACGUUGGAUCAACGUGAAUACUUUAGGGAUUAUCGCUUGACUCAAAAAGGGAAACUAUUAUGGGAUCAAAUUCAUAUGUUGAAAUGGUAUGCUUGGGAACUAUGCUUGAGAUAUGAUAUUACUUGCUGCUCUAGGAUGAAGGCUCAACACCUUCCCUUUUCUUGUAAAUUUAAUGCUAAUGAAACCUUGGUUUCUUAUGCUAAUGGUAUAUAUGAUUACUAUGAUGUGGAACAAAUAGAAGAGUUUGUUACUUUUAUGGGUGCUUAUGAAAUUGAAGCUCUGUUUAAAAGGUGUGAUGAUAAUGAUGAUGCUGCUUACCGAUCAAAAAAUGUGGUUAUGCUUCAUUAUUGUUAUACUAAUUAUGAAUAUAAUGCCCAUAUUUAUCGAUUUAUGGAGAAGUUCUAUGCUGCCCAAGAAGAGACAAAUAUUUUGGAGGAAACUAUGGAAGAAGAAAAUGCUGAAACUGUGAGCUCAUUAGAUGAAAAAGAUGACGAGGAGAGUGAUGAACAAAAGGAGGAAGAGCGGACUAGCUACCCGUGCCCACCUUCUAAUGAUAGUAACUCUUCAACUCAUACAUUGUUUAAUUUCCUUUCGUUCUUACCGAAGGCUGAAUGCUAUGUUGAUUGCUAUGAUCCCUUGGAUUCGUUUGAAAUAUCGCUUUUUGAUGAACUUGAUGCUUGCUAUGCUUGUGGCCAUGAUGCCAAUAUGAAUGAUGCUUAUGAAUAUGAACUUGCUAUGGUUACUUAUGUUAAACAUGAAAUUUUUUCUAUCACACCCACUUAUGAUAGUCCUAUUAUCUUUUUGAACUCUCCCAACUACACUAUAUCGGAGAAGUUUGCUCUUAUUAGGGAUUACAUAGAUGGGUUGCCUUCUACUAUUACACAUGAUGAUUUUGAUAAAUAUAAUAUGCAUGUGCUUGCUUCUCCUACUUGCAAUUGUUAUAAGAGAGGAACUACAUCUCCACCUCUCUAUGUUUCCAAUACGAUAAAAUUGCAAGAAACUGCUUAUGCUAUGUAUUGGCCUUUACUUGAUGUGCAUGAAUUGUUACUUUAUGACAUGCCAAUGCAUAGGAAGAGAGUUAGACUUCUUCAUUGCAUGAUAUAUGUUACCUUGUGCUCACUACUAAAUUACAAAUCAUUGUUAAUUAAAAUUGGCUUUGAUAUACCUUGGGAUCCGGGUGGAUCCAUUACUUGAGCACUUUAUGUCUAGCUUAAUGGCUUUAAAGAAAGCGCUGCCUGGGAGACAACUCGGAAGUUUUAGAGAGUCAUUUAUUUCUGUUGAGUGCUUUUAUAUAGUUUAAAAACAAAAAUAUAUAUAGAGGGGAACUUAAAACUUUUUCAAAAAGAGAAGCGAUUGAAAGGUGAUGCAUUGCGGAAGUGAGGGUCGACCUUGAACACUUGUGUUCAUGCUCAUGGAAACAAUGUAGAAUUUUUCAUGGAAGUUUAUCGCAAAAAAUAAUUAUCCCCUUGUACAAUUCCAUUGUAUUAUAAAAAUAAUGUGCCAAGUAAAGCCUUUAUGAUUAGUUUGGGUGAUAGUUGUUUGAUCAUGCUGAAAAAGACAGAAACUUUGCACUCACGAAAUCAUUUCUUAUAUCUAUACAGAGAGGGAUAUUGAGUUGAUUCUUUUGUCUGCUGAUUGAUAUACAAAUUGCCUUAAUGAUAAUAAUUUUUUCAGAAUUUUUGGAGUAUCAGAAGUAUGGUAUGUGUUCAGAUUACUACAGACUGUUCUGUUUUUUGACAGAUUUUGUUUUCUAUGCAUUGUUCUCUUAUUUUAAUGAAUCUAUGGGUAGUAUCGGGGGGUAUCAACCAUGGUGAAGUUGGAUUACAGUAGAUAUAAUGCUAAUAUGAAUUUGGAAUGAGUUCACAACAGUACUUAAAGUGGUGAUUUACUUUAUUAUACUAACGGAUCUCACGAAGGUUUUGUUGAGUUUUGUGUGAUUGAAGUUUUCAAGUUUUGGGUGAGACCACGAUGGAUGAAGUAAUAAGGAGAGGCAAGAGCCUAAGCUUGGGGAUGCCCGAGGCACCCCAAGGUAAUAUUCAAGGAAGACUCAAGCGUCUAAGCUUGGGGAUGCCCCGGAAGGCAUCCCCUCUUUCGUCUACAUUCUAACGGUAAUUUUACUCGGAGCUAUAUUUUUAUUCGUCACAUGAUAUGUGCAAAUGCUUGGAGCGUCUUUUGUGUUUAUUUUUCCUUUUUCUUUUAUGCACCAUGCUGGUAUGAGAUAGUCCUUGGUUGAUUUCUAGAAUGCUCUUUGACUUCACUUAUAUCUUUUGAGUAUGGCUUUAUAGAAUGCUUCAUGUGCUUCACUUAUAUCAUUUGAAGUUUGGAUUGCCUGUUUCCCUACACAUAGAAAACCGCCAUUUGUAGAAUGCUCUUUUGCUUCACUUAUAUUUGUUAGAGCGGGGCAUAUCUUUUGUAAAAAGAAUUAAACUCUCAUGCUUCACUUAUACCUAUUUAGAGAGUUAACAGGAGUUGGUCAUUCAGAUGGUUAGUCAUAAAAUCCUACAUAAAACUUGUAGAUCACUGAAUAUGAUAUGUUUGAUUCCUUGCAAUAGUUUUGCGACAUGAAGAUGUGAUAUUAGAUUCAUGCUAGUGAGUAAUUGUGUAUUCGUAGAAAUACUUGUGUUAAGGUUUGUGAUUCCCGUAGCAUGCACGUAUGGUGAACCGUUAUGUGACGAGGUCUGAGCAUGAUUAAUUUAUUGAUUGUCAUCCUUUGUGUGGAGGUCGGGAUCGCGUGAUGGUUAACUGCUACCAACCCUUCCCCUAGGAGCAUGCGUGUAGUACCUUGUUUGGAUGACUAAUAGACUUUUGCAAUAAGUAUGUGAGUUCUUUAUGACUAAUGUUGAGUCCAUGCAUUAUACGCACUCUCACCCUUUCACCAUUGCUAGCCUCUCUAGUACCGCGCAACUUUCGCCAGUGCAUUACACCCACCAUAUACCCUUCCUCAAAACAACCACCAUACCUCAUGUUAUGGCAUUUCCAUAGCCAUUCCGAGAUAUAUUGCCAUGCAACUUCCAUCGUUCCAUUUAUUAUGACACGCACCAUCAUUGUCAUAUUGCUUUGCAUAUUUGUAAGAUAGCUAGCAUGAUGUUUUCAUGGCUUGUCCAUUUUUUGAUGUCAUUGCUACGCUAGAUCAUUGCACAUCCCGGUACACCGUCGGAGGCAUUCAUAUAGAGUCAUAUUUUAUUCUAAAUAUCGAGUUGUAAGUAAAUAAAAGUGUGAUGAUCAUCAUUAUUAGAGAAUUGUCCCAUGUGAGGAAGUAAUAAAAGAGGCCAAUGAAGCCCAAAUUAAAAAAAAUUAGGCCAAAGAAUCCCACCAAAAAAAGGGAGAAAAAAUAGAGAGAAAAGAGAGAAGGGACAAUGCUACUAUCCUUUACCACACUUGUGCUUCAAAGUAGCACCAUGAUCUUCAUGAUAGAGAGUCUCCUAUGUUGUCACUUUCAUAUACUAGUGGGAAAUUUUCAUUAUAGAACUUGGCUUGUAUAUUCCAACGAUGGGCUUCCUCAAAUUGCCCUAGGUCUUCAUGAGCAAGCGAGUUGGAUGCACACCCACUAGUUUAUUUUUUGAACUUUCAUACACUUAUAGCUCUUGUGCAUCUGUUGCAUGGCAAUCCCUACUCACUCACAUUGAUAUCUAUUGAUGGGCAUCUCCAUAGCCCGUUGAUACGCCUAGUUGAUGUGAGACUAUCUCCUCCUUUUUGUCUUUUCCACAACCACCAUAUUCUAUUCCACCUAUAGUGCUAUGUCCAUGGCUCACGCUCAUGUAUUGCGUGAAAGUUGAAAAAGUUUUAGAACACUAAAGUAUGAAACAAUUGCUUGGCUAAAACCGGGGUUGUGCAUGAUUUAAAUACGUGUGGGGAAGAUGGAGCAUAGCCACACUAUAUGAUUUUGUAGGGAUAACUUUCUUUGGCCAUGAUAUUUUGAGAAGACAUGAUUGCUUUGUUAGUAUGCUUGAAAUAUUAUUGUCUUUAUGUCAAAUGAUAGACUAUUGCUUCGAAUCACUCGUGUUUUAGUAUUCAUGCCAUGAUUAGAUUAUAUGAUCAAGAUUAUGCUAGGUAGCAUUCCACAUCAAAAAUUAUCUUUUUUAUCAUUUACCUACUCGAGGACGAGCAGAAAUUAAGCUUGGAGAUGCUGAUACGUCUCCGUCGUAUCUAUAAUUUUUGAUUGUUUCAUGCCAAUAUUCUACAAUUGUCAUAUACUUUCGGCAACUUUUUUAUACUAUUUUUUGGGACUAACAUAUUGAUCCAGUGCCCAGUGCUAGUUCCUAUUUGUUGCAUGUUUUUUGUUUCGCAGAAUAUCCAUACCAAACGAAGUCCAAACGCAAUAAAAAACCUACGGGGAUUUGUUUUGGAAUAUUUAUGAUUUUUGGGAAGAAGAAUCAACGCGAAACGAUGCCCGAGGGGGUCACGAGCCCAGGAGGCGCGCCCUAUCCCCCAGGCACGCCUGGCAGGCUCGUGACCAACCCCUAUGGCGGUUGGGGCCCUUUUUUCCCUCAAGAAAGCUAAUAUCCGGAAGAAAAUCGUGUUAAAAGGACACCUCAAUCGGAGUAACGGAUCUCCGGGAAUUUAAGAAACGGUGAAAGGCCAGAAUCUGGGAGCACAGAAACAGAAGGAAAUAGAGAGAGAGAGAGAUCCAAUCUCGGAGGGGCUCUCGCCCCUCCGCCGCCAUGGAGACCAUGGACCAGAGGGGAAACCCUUCUCCCAUCUAGGGAGGAGGUCAAGGAAGAAGAAUAAGGGGGCUCUCUCCCCCCUCUCUCCCGGCGGCGCCGGAACGCCGCCCGUGACAUCAUCGUGUGACGGCGGUCUACACCAACACCUCCGUCAUCUUCACCAACACCUCCGUCAUCUUCACCAACACCUCCAUCACCUUCCCCCAUCUAUAUUCAGCGGUCCACUCUCCCGCAACCUGUUGUACCCUCUACUUGAAUAUGGUGCUUUAUGCUUCAUAUUAUUAUCCAAUGAUGUGUUGCCAUCCUAUGAUGUUUGAGUAGAUUUUCGUUGUCCUAUUGGUGAUUGAUGAAUUGCUAUGAUUGGUUUAAUUUGCUUGUGGUUAUGUUGUUGUCCUUUGGUGCCCAUCAUAUGAGCGCGCGCGUGGAUCACACAAUAGGGUUAGUAGUAUGUUGAUAGGACUAUGUAUUGGAGGGCAAGGGUGACAGAAGCUUCAGCCUAACAUAGAAAUUGAUGCAUACGGGAUUGAAGGGGGACCAAUAUAUCUUAUUGCUAUGGUUGGAUUUUACCUUAAUGAACGUUAGUAGUUGCAGAUGCUUGCUAAUAGUUCCAAUCAUAAGUUCAUAGAAUUCCAAGUAAGGGAUGACAUGCUAGCAGUGGCCUCUCCCACAUAAAACUUGCUAUCGGUCUAGUAACGUAGUCAAUUGCUUAGGGACAAUUCCGCAACUCCUACCACCACUUUUCCACACUCGUUAAACUAAUGUAAUUGUUUCUUUAUCUAAACAGCCCCUAGGUUUUAUUUACGUGUUCUUUAUUAUCUUGCAAACCUAUCCUAUCACACCUACAAAGUACUUCUAGUUUCAUACUUGUUUUAGGUAAAGCGAACGUAGAGUGUGCGUAGAGUUGUAUCGGUGGUCGAUAGAACUUGAGGGAAUAUUUGUCCUACCUUUAGCUCCUCGUUGGGUUCGACACUCUUACUUAUCGAGAAAGGCUACAAUUGAUCCCCUAUACUUGUGGGUUAUCAGUGACCGAACGGAGGAGGGAGCUAUUGAAAAGUCCGGAUCGAGCCAAACUUCGGUAAUGAGACGAGGCCCGAAGAGAAGGUUGGGCAAGGAUCAAAAGUUCAUGAUCACAUGACUCGCGAACGAUGGCCUACCGAUUGAACCCAAGUGGACCAAGGAUGCAUUUUCUGCUCAGUGCGGAGCUAUUAUCAGGGACAACAUCCCGAUCAGCAUCAAGCAAUGGAAUAAGCCUAAGGGAGACGACGUACCUGAAGGUGAUUAUGUCACCGAUAGGCAGAAAGAUGAUCUUUGGACUGCGCUGAAGGAAAAUUUCACCCUACCGCCAGAGGAGGAUCCGAAUAAGCCAGUUAUAGAGCCACUGGUCAAGGUGUGUGCUCUUAAGAAGAUGGCAGAUCUAUUCAGGAGGUGGAAGAAUGAGUUGAAAUCAAAGUUUUUCGACAAAGGGAAGACUCCAGAAUUCGUCAGCUGAUUUGAGAAGAUGAGAGAUCACUGGCCCGCAUUUGUGUCCUACAAGAAAUCAGACAAGAGUAAGAAAAUGUCACAGACAAACAAGAACAAUGCUACAAAGAAGCAGUAUCACCAUCACACGGGGUCAGGUGGAUACCUCGAAGCCGUCCGUUGUGGGACAAAGCUGAGAAUGACCUGAUUGCUAAAGGGGUCCAACCAUAGACAUGAAACUGGCCCGACCGUUCAAGGAAUUGGUUCUUCAAGGUCGGGGGAACUUUGGACCCUGAAACAGGGAAGUGUCGUUGGACGGACGAGCAACUUGCAACACCCAUCAACAAGCUUCAGAAGUGUAUCACCGCAGCGCGGGAAGGGGCGUUCUUUCCUGACGAAGAGAAGGACGAGCUGACUGAGGCCCUAGGGAAUGUUGAGCACCCUGGACAAACACGAGGCACACCAGGCUCCGUUCCAUGGAAGGUUGGGUUUCCCGACGCAGCCGGUUAUAGAAGCCGAGAGAGAAAGAGGAAAGUGGAGCUCAGCGACAUGCAAAAGAUCAAUGCAAGACUACAAAUUCUAGAGGAACUUGAGAGCCAGCGAGCGGCCGACCAACCAUCUCAGCGUCACGAAACUACCCAGAAGUUACCCCGCCAUCUCAGCGAAGAAGCAGCAUGGCUUCCACGGAGCUCGUUCAGCCUGACUUCACGGCUCCAAGCUACCCCGUGGAUACUAUCACGGAGUCUCAACCUUGCGAUCUUUUGACGAAAUGUCGGAACCUCACUUUCAAGGCUGCUAUCGGCUUCGUUGCACCUUCUGAACCAACGGAACUUUUCACUGCCUUCCGAUUCCACGUGGCUUUGCUAUUCAGAUGGUGGAUGAAGUAAAGGAGGGAUUUGAGCAGCUCGAGCUUGACCACCCUACAGGUGAAGGGGAGAAUAAGUUGGUUCAUGAUGUGAGGAGUACAUGUCUAUGGCCGAAGGAGUACAUCAACCUUCCAAACUGGACGCCUCCUCGUCCUCCUCCUCCGGUGAUUGAUCAGGGCACUCCUCAUCCUCCUCCGGCGAGUGAUCAGGGCACUACAGCUCCUCCGACGCGUGAGGGCACUCCACCUCCUUCUUCGGCUCCUCCUCUAGCGCGUGAGGGCACUCCGUCUCCUUCUUCAACUCCUUCUUCGACGCGUCGAAGUAGUCUGCCUCCUUCUUCGGCUCCUCCUCCAGUGCGUCGGAGCACUCCGCCUCCUUCUUUGACUCCUCCUCCAGCGCAUCGGAGCAGUCCUCCUCCUUCGGCUCCUCCUCAGGCACGUCAUAGCAGUCCUCCUCCUUCGGCUCCUCCUCAGGUGCGUCGGAGCAGUCCUCCUCCUUCGGCUCCUCCUCAGGCGCGCCGGAGCAGUCCGCCUCCUCCACAACGGUGGAAGACAAACGUCGUCGCCGCUCCGCAGAAAAUUACACAAGUAAGAAAGAUGUCGCCUCCUCCUCCUUCUCUCAAGCGGAAGACAAACUCCGCCGCCGCUCUGGAGGCUACCAGUGAUGCAAUGUUAGCAAAACGAAGAAGUGGGAAAACAAUUCCCCAGCUCGGCCAACAGAAGAAGCAAUCGUGCCCCCCGCUCAAGGUGUCUAGCGAUAUCAUCGUCGCUAAUGAUCCGGGGUUGCUGUUGUUGGAAAUAUGCCCUAGAGGCAAUAAUAAAUUAGUUAUUAUUAUAUUUCUUUGUUCAUGAUAAUCGUUUAUUAUCCAUGCUAUAAUUGUAUUGAUUGGAAACACAAUACUUGUGUGGAUACAUAGACAAAACACUGUCCCUAGUAAGCCUCUAGUUGACUAGCUCGUUGAUCAAAGAUGGUCAAGGUUUCCUGACCAUGGGCAAGUGUUGUCACUUGAUAACGGGAUCACAUCAUUAGGAGAAUCAUGUGAUGGACUAAGACCCAAACUAAUAGACGUAGCAUGUUGAUCGUGUCAUUUUGUUGCUACUGUUUUCUGCGUGUCACGUAUUUGUUCCUAUGACCAUGAGAUCAUAUAACUCACUCACACCGGAGGAAUGCUUUGUGUGUAUCAAACGUCGCAACGUAACUGGGUGACUAUAAAGAUGCUCUACAGGUAUCUCCGAAGGUGUUAGUUGAGUUAGUAUGGAUCGAGACUGGGAUUUGUCACUCCGUGUGACGGAGAGGAAUCUCGGGGCCCACUCGGUAAUACAACAUCACACACAAGCCUUGCAAGCAAUGUGACUUAGUGUAAGUUGCGGUAUCUUGUAUUAUGGAACGAGUAAAGAGACUUGCGGGUAAACGAGAUUGAAAUAGGUAUGCGGAUACUGACGAUCGAAUCUCGGGCAAGUAACAUACCGAAGGACAAAGGGAAUGACAUACGGGAUUAUAUGAAUCCUUGGCACUGAGGUUCAAACGAUAAGAUCUUCGUAGAAUAUGUAGGAUCCAAUAUGGGCAUCCAGGUCCCACUAUUGGAUAUUGACCGAGGAGUCGCUCGGGUCAUGUCUACAUAGUUCUCGAACCCGCAGGGUCUGCACACUUAAGGUUCGACGUUGUUAUAUGCGUAUUUGAGUUAUAUGGUUGGUUGCCGAAUGUUGUUCGGAGUCCCGGAUGAGAUCACAAACGUCAUGAGGGUUUCCGGAAUGGUCCGGAAACGAAGAUUGAUAUAUAGGAUGACCUCAUUUGAUUACCGGAAGGUUUUCGGAGUUACCGGGAAUGUACCGGGAAUGACGAAUGGGUUCCGGAUGUUCACCGGGGGGGGCAACCCACCUCGGGGAAGCCCAUAGGCCUUGGGGGUGGCGCACCAGCCCUUAGUGGGCUGGUGGGACAGCCCAAGAAGGCCCUAUGCGCCAUANNNNNNNNNNNNNNNNNNNNNNNNNNNNNNNNNNNNNNNNNNNNNNNNNNNNNNNNNNNNNNNNNNNNNNNNNNNNNNNNNNNNNNNNNNNNNNNNNNNNCAGGAUGGCCCAGGCGAGCAUGCCAAAGGUCGACACCAGCGGCGAGGGAGACGGGGCGGGUGGAGGCAGCGGCGGAGGGAUGCACCGGGUAGAGAUCCUGAGAGCUAUCACAUCGGUGCAGUACCAUCCGGGUAGGGGCAUCCUUCACAGUAAAAUCGACAACGUCAAAUUCAACAGUAAGAGGAUUCUCACGAGCAAGGCAACGAACAGAACAAAGUUUCGUGACUAAUUCGGGAGAAACAAGAACAUUAGACAUGUUGAUAGGUGUAGAUGAAGAGGGAAACGAUGUAUGCCCUAUAUGUGUGAUGGGUAAAGAUGAACCAUUACCAACGGUGAUACAAGUAGGAGUAUGAACUGGAGUAGAGGAGAUAAGGUUACCGGUAUGAGAGGUCAUGUGAGCAGUGGCACCCGAGUCCAUGUACCAGUCGCCGCCGCCCCCAUAGUUGCUCGGGGAGGGGGGCGCGAGUGCAGCGCUGCCAAAAGAGCAGGAUCUCACGGCGAAGGCGCCUGCUGUGGGGAGGCCCCGCCGUAGGGGGCCCUCCGUAGGAAGGCAUCAGAGCAGCAGGGUAGCCGCCAACCAUCAGCGGGGCGGGUAGAGCAGGACCACGCACGGCGAGGUAAGCUUGUUGAAGAGGCGGAGGGGGCCGAGGCACUAGCAUCUAAUAGGCAUGGAUGACUCCAGUCCACGGAUUUGUGUCGUAGGUCCAGGGCGGGGUAGGGUACUGCUGACGAGGCGCCCUCCGUACGCCGGUUGUUGCGGCUGUUGUUGCUUGUUCUGGCGUCCACCGCGGCAGUUGUUGCAUCGGCCGCCGCCACCGCCGAGCUGCUGUUGCGGCUGCCGCUGCACGGGCGGCGUGGGCGGCAAGGAGAAGAACCCCGGGGGCGCAGGAGGUGCCGGGGCCCGAGGCGCGUGAGGUGGCCCGUGAGAGGUGCCUGCGGCGAGGGCGGUGUGCUGGACCCGCCGCUUGACCUGCUUCAUCUGUCGUUCCUCCAAGCAAAGAUAGGCGACAAACUUGGGGAACGAGGGCUCCGUCAUCAAGGUGAGGUUGGAGGCGGCGUUGCCGAAGUCCUCGUCGAGGCCGGUCGUAAGCGUGCUGAGGAGAAGGUCAUCAUCGAUCUUGGCGCCAAUGUCGUGGAGUUCAUUGGACAACAUCUUGAGACGGAGGUAGUAAUCAUCAACGGGCUGAUCAUCUUGAUGACAGCUGAAGAAUUCUUGCUGCAGGAGGACGCGACGUUGAAGCUUGUUGUCGGUGAAGAGGCCAUUGAGUUUGACCCAUACGGCAUGCGCGUCAUCGCCCUCGCUGACGACGGUGUGAAAGUGAUCCUUGGAGAUGAUGAGGAAGAACCACCGAAUGAGCGUAGCAUCGAUGGAUGUCCACUCGAAAUCGUCCUUCAUGUCGCCAGAGUCGCCGGAGCCGUCGAUGUGAUCCGCGAUAUUGUACUCGCGAACGACGAGGGAGAAGUAGGUCUUCCACGCGAAAUACAUGGAGUCUUGGGGAUCGAGGAUGACGGGGACCCGACCAUGGAUGAAGGGGUUGGUGUUGCCGGAGAGGGAGGAGUUAACCGACAUGACGUCGGCGACGCGACAGGAGGGAAGGCGCGGUGCGGCGGCGGUGGUUGCGGGUGCGGCUACGUGCAUAUCGUAGCGGCAGGUGUUAGGGUUUAGUGGCGACGGCGGCGGCUUGUGGAGGGAGAGUAGGGUUAGGGCGCGACUGCGUGGAGAUGGAUGGCAGCAGCAGGGUAGGGGAGGCGACAGUGGCGACGCGAGGCGUCGGCUGGGUAGCAGCAGCGGCGGCGGUGGCGGCUAGGGCAACAGAAGAGGUAGGAUCCGCGUGCUAUCUGAUACCAUGUAAGUUAGGGAUUGCAUGCAUCGAUGAUUCUCAUUGAUGGUGCACCAAGCACAUAUAUAGGUACAAGGGGUGCAACUCAUGUCUCGUCUUUCAAGUUACAUACAGAUUACAAUGAGAGGGAGACGUGACAGGUGCAAUAUACAAACCAAGAUCUAUAGACGUGUACGCAGACUAUACAUGUUCAACAUAAACAUAGGCUAAAACGGAUCAAUUCAAUCAAAAUAGUGAGAAAACAAUAUCAAAACCAGGAUGAGACCAAAAAUCGACUGCUUAAAUGUCAAGAGUAAUAACAAAUGUGACUUCUUAACUACACAUAAGAAUGUUGCUUGUCAAGCAUGAAAGAUGUACACAACCGAACACCUGUCCUGGGAGCAAUAUGUAUAUACAGAAACGGCAGACUUUACACACAAGGCACACAGGGGAUAGGCUUGGACGGAUGAAAGAAACAAGGAAGCAAGCAACCACUGAUAAACACUUCAUUCACUCUUGCUCCAUUUGCGAAGAAGGAGCGUUUUUACUUUAGGCCCCAAAGCAUCCCAUGACUUUCUUGGGAGAGUUGCCGGUGGCGCGGUACUUGGCGGCCAUCUCCUCGGCCUUGAGGAGUUCCUCCCCUUUCUUUGCCUCGACCAUCGCUCUCUUCUCUUCGGCUUCCUUGUGGAUCAUUGCGGCCUUAUUCUUCAUCUUCUCGGCGUAUUCAGCCUUCUUCUUUUCCAAUUGCUCCUGAAAGUGUACAGUCACAAGAUUUAGUUUGCAGGAUGGCAUAUGAAGAGAGUGCCAUGUUCAGAACUGCAGAUGGAUAUCGACGGCAAGA
rnacentral:lncRNA from 1 species